UACCAGCACCCCGAGUGGUCGGGACGAUUAUUGGGCCUAAAGCAUCCGUAGCCGGUCAUGCAAGUCUUCCGUUAAAUCCAGCUGCUUAACAGAUGGGCUGCGGAAGAUACUAUGGAGCUAGGAGGCGGGAGAGGCAAGCGGUACUCGAUGGGUAGGGGUAAAAUCCGUUGAUCCAUUGAAGACCACCAGUGGCGAAGGCGGCUUGCCAGAACGCGCUCGACGGUGAGGGAUGAAAGCUGGGGGAGCAAACCGG
rnacentral:rRNA from 1 species